UACGUAGGUGGCGAGCGUUGUCCGGAAUUACUGGGUGUAAAGCGCGUGUAGGCGGGAGGCCAAGUCUGUGGUGAAAUCGCUCGGCUUAACUGGGCGGGGUCCAUGGAAACUGGUCACCUGGAGGUCGGUAGAGGCAAGUGGAAUUCCCGGUGUAGUGGUGAAAUGCGUAGAGAUCGGGAGGAACACCAGUGGCGAAGGCGGCUUGCUGGGCCGGACCUGACGCUGAGACGCGGAGGCGUGGGGAGCGAACGGG
rnacentral:rRNA from 1 species